UACGGAGGGUGCGAGCGUUUGUCCGGAAUCACUGGGCGUAAAGGGCGCGUAGGUGGCGCGAUGAGUCAACGGUGAAAGCUCGACGCUCAACGUCGAGUCGGCCGUCGAUACUGUCGCGCUGGAGCACUGUAGAGGCUCAUGGAAUUCCGGGUGUAGCGGUGGAAUGCGUAGAGAUCCGGAAGAACACCGGUGGCGAAGGCGGGUCUCUGGGCAAUAACUGACGCUGAGGAGCGAAAGCGUGGGGAGCGAACAGG
rnacentral:rRNA from 1 species